rnacentral:tRNA from 1 species
GCCCGUGUGGUUCAGUGGGUAGAGCGGCAGUCUGCGGACUGAAGGGUCCCGGGUUCGAUUCCAGUCAAGGGCA